CGGCCCGCGGGGUCAUUAUCUGCGGCGCGUACGCCGACCCGCCGCCGCCGCCGCCGGUGUAGUAGCGGUGGUCCGCCCUGCCGGCGGCGUAGUAGUGGUGGUCGCGCGCGGCCGCCGCGUACUUGUAGGGGCUCGGGCUCGGGUGGUAGCGGUACGCGUGCUCGGCGGCGGCGAGGCCGCCGAGCUCGUCGGCGGCGUCGACGGUGCGCAGCUCGACCACCUCCGCGUGGCCCACCUUGCGGCGCAGCUUCUCGGUGAUGCGGUUGGAGUCGACCCCGACGCCGAUCACCAGCAGCAGGUUCUUGUCCUCGCCGGCGAUCGUCA
rnacentral:lncRNA from 1 species